rnacentral:rRNA from 1 species
AGCAGCCGCGGUAAUUCCAGCUCCAAUAGCGUAUAUUAAAGUUGUUGCAGUUAAAAAGCUCGUAGUUGAAUUUCGGGGUUCUACCGUUGGUCGGGCUAACCAGUCUGUACUAGCGUGUAGAAUUCCUACCUUCUGGGGAACCAUCAUGUUAUUAAUUUAGCGUGGUGGGAAACCAGGACCUUUACCUUGAAAAAAUUAGAGUGUUCAAAGCAGGCUUACGUCUGAAUACAUUAGCAUGGAAUAAUAAAAUAGGACGGUGGUCCUGUUUUGUUGGUUUCUGAAUCACCGUAAUGAUUAAUAGGGAUAGUUGGGGGCAUUAGUAUUCAAUUGUCAGAGGUGAAAUUCUUGGAUUUAUUGAAGACUAACUUCUGCGAAAGCAUUUGCCAAGGAUGUUUUCAUUAAUCAAGAACGAAAGUUAGGGGAUCGAAGACGAUCAGAUACCGUCGUAGUCUUAACCAUAAACUAUGUCGACUAGGGAUCGGACGAUGUUAAAUUUUAUUGACUCGUUCGGCGCCUUACG